ensembl:snoRNA SNORA70 Small nucleolar RNA SNORA70
CUCCAGCCAUUAAGCUGACUGUGCUCUUUCUCCAUAGGGGUCCAGUAUGCCACGGCUGCAAACAGUAGCCUCCUUGGCUAUGCAGCCUGUUGAUUGUAUGGGUUGCCCUAAGGGACCUUGGAGACAGUC